GCGUUUUUUGUGAUUAGUGAUCAGAGUAUGGCCAUUUAAUAGAGUUUUGUGAUUAUUGAUAUAUGAGAAUAAGAUGCCCCAUUUUGUAAACAUUAAUACUCCCUCCGUCCAGGUGUAUAAGUCAUUCGCGUAGUUCUAGGUCAUCGAUUUGAGAAAUUAAAUAUGUGUUAUAUGUCAUGAAAAGUAUACCACUAGAUUUCCACACGGAUGUAGUUUCUAAAUAUAUAUUUUUUGUCACAUAUAAUACAUAUUUAGAUAGUUAAAUUAUCGACCUAGAACUACGCGAAUGACUUAUACACCGGGACGGAGGUAGUACUACGGACUGAUCGAACUAUGAACGAGUGCUUUUAUAAUCACUCCAGAAAUUCACAGGGGCACGCAGCCACACAGGUGCAGGGGCACACACCUGCCAAGCCCUGCCCGGCUGCUCGAUAGCCUUGCGAUUCAUGAAGUAGUUGG
rnacentral:lncRNA from 1 species